UAGAGGAAGUAAAAGUCGUAACAAGGUUUCCGUAGGUGAACCUGCGGAAGGAUCAUUAACGAGUUUGAAAGGGGUUGUCGCUGGCCCUCCGGGGCAUGUGCACGCCUCGCUCAUCCAUCUACACACCUGUGCACCUUUUGUGGGUCCCGGAUGCCGAGGGAGUCAAAUCCCGAGGCCGAAGGUUCCUGCGUCUUUACACACACUUUGUAUGUUCAGAAUGUCUAUACCGCGGUAAAACGCAUCUAAUACAACUUUCAACAACGGAUCUCUUGGCUCUCGCAUCGAUGAAGAACGCAGCGAAAUGCGAUAAGUAAUGUGAAUUGCAGAAUUCAGUGAAUCAUCGAAUCUUUGAACGCACCUUGCGCUCGCCGGUAUUCCGGCGAGCAUGCCUGUUUGAGUCUCAUGAAUCUCUCAAACCCCUGGCUUGCUCAGGGGCUUUGGACUUGGAGGUCUGCCGGCGUCCGCGUCGGCUCCUCUCUAAAUGCAUUAGCUCGGAUCGUAUGUGUCGGUCUGCGGUGUGAUAAACGUCUACCCGCGGGAUCGGUGCCUCGCAUGAAUGGGAACUUACCGUGGACUUUGCGGUCUGCAGUGCUUCGGCCGUGUGAGCCUCCCUGAAGUGCGGGUCGGUCUGGCUUCCAAUCGCCCUCUGGGCAAACUCUACAUGACAUCUGAGCUCAAAUCAGGUAUGACUACCCGCUGAACUU
rnacentral:rRNA from 1 species